rnacentral:rRNA from 1 species
AUUGAACGCUGGCGGCAGGCCUAACACAUGCAAGUCGAACGGUAGCACAGAGAGCUUGCUCUCGGGUGACGAGUGGCGGACGGGUGAGUAAUGUCUGGGAAACUGCCCGAUGGAGGGGGAUAACUACUGGAAACGGUAGCUAAUACCGCAUAACGUCUACGGACCAAAGUGGGGGACCUUUGGGCCUCACACCAUCGGAUGUGCCCAGAUGGGAUUAGCUAGUAGGUGGGGUAAUGGCUCACCUAGGCGACGAUCCCUAGCUGGUCGGAGAGGAUGACCAGCCACACUGGAACUGAGACACGGUCCAGACUCCUACGGGAGGCAGCAGUGGGGAAUAUUGCACAAUGGGCGCAAGCCUGAUGCAGCCAUGCCGCGUGUAUGAAGAAGGCCUUCGGGUUGUAAAGUACUUUCAGCGGGGAGGAAGGGUUGCUGGUUAAUAACCAGCGACAUUGACGUUACCCGCAGAAGAAGCACCGGCUAACUCCGUGCCAGCAGCCGCGGUAA